GACGAACGCUGGCGGCGUGCUUAACACAUGCAAGUCGAGCGGUAAGGCCCUUUCGGGGGUACACGAGCGGCGAACGGGUGAGUAACACGUGGGUGACCUGCCUUUAGCUCUGGGAUAAGCCUGGGAAACCGGGUCUAAUACCGGAUAUGACUCCGCGGCGCAUGUUGUGGGGUGGAAAGCCUUGUGCGGCUGGAGAUGGGCCCGCGGCCUAUCAGCUUGUUGGUGGGGUGAUGGCCUACCAAGGCGACGACGGGUAGCCGGCCUGAGAGGGCGACCGGCCACACUGGGACUGAGACACGGCCCAGACUCCUACGGGAGACAGCAGUGGGGAAUCUUGCGCAAUGGGGGAAACCCUGACGCAGCAACGCCGCGUGGAGGAUGAAGUCCCUUGGGACGUAAACUCCUUUCGACCCGGACGAUAAUGACGGUACGGGUGGAAGAAGCCCCGGCUAACUUCGUGCCAGCAGCCGCUGU
rnacentral:rRNA from 1 species